UUACGGCCACAUCACAGUGAAACAUCAGUUCCCGUAGGAUCACCGGAGUUAAGCAACGUCAAACCGGGUCAGUACCUGAAUGUGUGUCUGCUUGGGAAUACCAGGUGCCGUAA